rnacentral:rRNA from 1 species
AUACGGAGGGUGCAAGCGUUACUCGGAAUCACUGGGCGUAAAGCGCGCGCAGGCGGCUUGAUAAGUUGGAUGUGAAAGCCUACGGCUCAACCGUAGAACUGCAUCCAAAACUGUCAAGCUAGAGUCUGGGAGGGGAAGAUGGAAUUAGUUGUGUAGGGGUAAAAUCCGUAGAGAUAACUAGGAACACCAAAAGCGAAGGCGAUCUUCUGGAACAGUACUGACGCUGAGGCGCGAAAGCGUGGGGAGCAAACAGGAUUAGAAACCCUAGUAGUCC